GACGAACGCUGGCGGCGUGCUUAACACAUGCAAGUCGAACGAUGAAGCCGGAGCUUGCUCUGGUGAAUUAGUGGCGAACGGGUGAGUAACACGUGAGUAACCUGCCCUUGACUCUGGGAUAACUGCGGGAAACUGUAGCUGAUACCGGAUACGACCCUCGGAGGCAUCUCCUGGGGGUGGAAAUGAUUUCGGUCAAGGAUGGACUCGCGGCCUAUCAGCUAGUUGGUGAGGUAAAGGCUCACCAAGGCGACGACGGGUAGCCGGCCUGAGAGGGUGACCGGCCACACUGGGACUGAGACACGGCCCAGACUCCUACGGGAGGCAGCAGUGGGGAAUAUUGCACAAUGGGCGCAAGCCUGAUGCAGCAACGCCGCGUGAGGGAUGACGGCCUUCGGGUUGUAAACCUCUUUUAGCAGGGAAGAAGCGAAAGUGACGGUACCUGCAGAAAAAGCACCGGCUAACUACGUGCCAGCCGCCGCCGUAA
rnacentral:rRNA from 1 species